CAUAGUCUUUGUGUAGUGAACGCAUAAAACCGUCAGUUUGUAAGCGAAAUCAAGAAUUACGAUCUUUGGAUUUGUUUAUUGACAUGUAAGAGAACAGACAGGACAUCUGCUAUCUGUAAGUCUUCAAUAAACUACCCUACUGAACUUUGAGCUUGUGCAUCUGGGCCCUAUUGUUGGACUGUUUGUCCUUCCUGACGCAGAAAUAGAGAGAGAGAGAGAGAGAGAGAGAGGUUUUAUGCCAGACCAGAGAGGGCAUGUUUGAACAGGUAGUCUGUUUUAGCACUUAUCUUUCUCAUCUCACUCUGAAAGGCUUAGCUGUUGAGCGUUAGUCAUGUGACUUCCUCUGAAACGAAACUCAGGUGAUGUGUUAAAAAAGAAACUUUAUGAAAAUGAGAACCUGCCAAGCCAAGCUACACACCAAUGAUGAUGUCCCCAGCACUUCCCAAAUCAAUCUUACUCACUGUAUCGGUUUCGUUUGCUUGGAAAUUAUACCAUGCAGUGACAACUGGUUGAAAUCACCAUAAAACAUUUCCUGGAAUGCCAUAAGCAGCUUGCAUGGAGGUACCUAAAGGAGUGGGGUCCCACCGUGAUUGACAUCAGCGUCAUCUCCCAGGUCAUCUGCCAGCACCCUCCCGUUUUGUUAUUUCUCCCGGAAAACUCCCGUAAUUUGCAUGGCCAUCAAACUUAAUUUUAAAAUCAUUGAUCCAUUCAUUUUUUCUGUUAGU